rnacentral:rRNA from 1 species
AUACGGAGGAUCCGAGCGUUAUCCGGAUUUAUUGGGUUUAAAGGGUGCGCAGGCGGGAGAUUAAGUCGGCGGUGAAAUUUUUCAGCUCAACUGUAAAAGGGCCUUCGAAAAUGGGUUUCUUUAGUGUAGAUGAAGGAGGGGGAAUUUGUGGGGUAGCGGGGAAAUGCGUAGAUAAGCCACAGAACGCCGAUAGCGGAGGCAGCUCGCCAGGCCUGCAUUGACGCUCGGGCACGAAAGCGUGGGGAUCGAACAGGAUUAGAUACCCUGGUAGUCCACGCCGUAAACGAUGGGCGCUCGUCGUCGGCGGCAGACAGUCGGCGGCCAAGCGAAAGCGAUAAGCGCCCCACCUGGGGAGUACGGUCGCAAGGCUGAAACUCAAAUGAAUUGACGGGG